GCUCCCUUCGCCGCGCCUCGCGUGCUAGCGGUGCCCUUGUGAGCCACUGCGUUCUCCAAGGCCAGAACGGGACAGUUGACGAUGGUCGUACUUCUCCAUGUUCUGAGACCAGUUUAAACAAAAACAAAAACCAGACAACAACCUUGCAAGGGAAAGAAUUCAGAGUAAAUAAACAGUCUUUUUCUGGGAAGUAAAAUAUUUCCCUAAGGUAAGUUACUUUUCCAAGGGAAUUACAGCAUAUCCCAAUGUGGACUAACAGGCGUUUUCUUCUGGUCUGAUUAACAUUUAGGAAAAAAUAGAUUCCUGAAAAUAGCCUAUUGUGUAAUUAUGUGUCUGAUUGGAACAGCAAAAUGUCUUUGUUAAACAUCUUUUUAAAAACCAAUUUUACCAUUUCCUUCCAAACAUUUGUUAAUUUAAUUGUGUUAACCCUUGCAUCCACAUUAUUGGUCAUGUGGCUGGAUUGAUUAAGAACAGACAGGGAUAUAGAUUUCCACCUACAGAAACUCUUUUCAAGGGGUUAAUCAGCUGGUAACUUGAGUUACAAAUAUAUUGGGGAAAAUGGUACUUUUGGUAAGAUUUCUCACAGUGUAUUCUUCAGCUAUUUUUGAAAAUUAUACCCACAAGUUACAUCACAUCUGUAAUAAACUCUGCACUUCAAGCUGCAGAACCUUCCAAGAUAUUCUGUGGAGUUUGUUGUAUUUUCCCCAUUUCUAUAUUUAAAACAAAUUUCCUACCCAUCCACCCCCUCCUUGAAUUCAGGGAAACACAAAUAACUCAUAAGCUUUGCACUGAAAUGAGUUUGUUUUGCUUUCAUGCCUAGUAUUGCUUUUGAAAUUGUUCAGCAGUAAAGAAAAGAAAAAGCUGCUGGUAUUAGCUUUAAACAACCGCCACAAACAUAUUGUCUUCCUAUUUAUUCUAGGUUUUCUUUCAGCCAAAAUCAGACUUGCAGAGUUAUUCUAGAGCAGUUGGAUGACAUACAAAAUCACAACCACCAAAAUAUACACUAUAUCUUUAUAAUGGGUUUUAUGUACUCACAGAUACACACACACACUAUGUAUAUAUUAAACAAAAAUAUGAAAUUGACUCAUUACAAAAGUAACCAUCCGGGUAUGUGAAAACUAAGAAUUGUGACUUUGAUAUUAAGAUAUGUCCAUUUUGCAGAUGGAGAAAUUGAGAUGAGAGCUCAUCCACAAGAUUACCCAUCAAUGAGCACCAAUAGCAACCAAAUCCACUAGAAGACUGGGAGCUUUUAAGUCAAGAAACUUACAUCAGUAUCAUCAUUCCAAGAAGCGGUAUCCAAGCUGUUUUAUCGAAAGUGCGCAUGGGAGGCAGAUUUUGACUCCAAAAGUCCAGGAUGGGGCCUGAGGUUCUGCAUGUCUAACAAUUUCCCAGCUGAUGCCAAAGCUGCUGAUCAGAGUCUACACCUUAAGAAAUAAGACUCUGAGAAUUUAUAGAAACAAACAUUAGAAGGCAGGAAUGUGGAGAGAAGAAAGCUACCUGACAAGGGAAUCUCAGGAUACAAGGAAAACACCAAGAAGACACCUGCCUGAGGGUCUUAUAGCUAAUGGACUGCAGAAGACUUGAGUCAUCAUUCAAAUUCAGUAGCCAUCCUCUGAUGUCCAGUUGAAGAUUGGUGAUUCCAGAAUAGCUCGCAUUGCCCCAGUUGACUUGCCACACAGCUUCUUUCAGGACUUGAAAAUGUCCUAGCCACCCCCAUCUUACCUCCUACUUCCAAUGCCUUUUAAGAUAGAAAACAAAAAACAAAACAACAAAAAAACACCAGCCACCCUUGUGGGUUAGAUAAUCCUACAUCAAGGUGAAUUCUUGAUAACCAGUUCUGUUCUUCCUUAUGUCUUGUAAACAUGCUAAUUAGAAGGAGCUUGUGUUUGAAGAUCAAGGGAGGAAGAAUUCUGAAGCCAGGGCUAGCCUUAGGGGACAUAACUCCUUCCAGUCACUUCCUGAAUUUUUUGGUACCUGGCUUUUGAGAGUCCUCCAAAGUGAGAAUUUCAUGACAUGUAACCUCUCAACACCUGCAUUUUAAAAAAUUGUCCAAAAUACCGCAGAUACCACAGAAAAGUCCAAAACUUAAGUUUUUCCCUCCACUCAGAGCAUCUUAGCAACAUACUAACCAUAAGACUCUAAGCGCUCUUACCCUCAAUGCAAUUCUCACUGAAUAUCCUGUCAGGAGAACUCUACCUCUCUUCCAUGUUAUUAAGGUUAUUGUUCUUUGCAAGGUGUACACAACACAAAUAUAUUUCUUGGUGAAUGAACUCACUCUCAAAGACUGCUGUCCUUGGGGAUAUAGCCAACAUGCCAUAUCCACAACAUAGGUCUUCUUUACAGUCCUGUUGAAACAUGUAAGAUCAGCUACUAAGUCCCUGCAUCUCAGACAGGAACUUAAUAGAGUACAUUUAAAAAAAAAAUUCAGAAGUAAUUAAAACAAAUUGCAUACAAGCCACCUGUUUAGAAAGUUCAUAAAUUUUAUGCAAUUAUUUAUCUCUUUAUUUUUUCUGAAAUCAAGAGCAGAAUGUAUCCAAGUGAAACUAAAAGAGCGAGGUCAAGGGGAAACAACACAGGGCUUGUGGAGUCAUAAAUAUGUAUUAAAGCAGCAGAGUUAAUUUUGUCCCAAGUUCCAUAUUGGCCAGGAAAAAAGAAACAAGAUCAGCAGAGUUAACAGCUCUCAACCUGAAUAUGCCUCAGAAUUUCUAGGAGGACUUAAGUAAUGAGAUUCCUGGGUUUCUACAUGGACCAACUCAAUCAAACUCUUCAGGAGACAGCUGCUGUUGUUAGACUGUGUCUCCCAAAAUUCUUGUGUUGGAAACUUAGUUCCCAAUGUAAUGAUACUGGCAGGUGUGGCCUAGUGGGGGGUGUUUAGAUCAUGAGGGCUUCAGCCUCAUGAAUGGAUUAAUGUUGAUAUCUCAGGAGUGAGUUUCCUCUUGCUCUCUGUAGCCCUCUCUCUUGCCACAUGAUGACUUCCACCAGGUUAUGACUCAACAGGAAGGCCCUCACAAGAUGUGGAACCUCAAUCUUAGACUUCUCAGCCUCCAGAAGUG
ensembl:lncRNA LETR1 lymphatic endothelial transcriptional regulator lncRNA 1